AUUGAACGCUGGCGGCAGGCCUAACACAUGCAAGUCGAACGGUAACAGAAAGCAGCUUGCUGCUUUGCUGACGAGUGGCGGACGGGUGAGUAAUGUCUGGGAAACUGCCUGAUGGAGGGGGAUAACUACUGGAAACGGUAGCUAAUACCGCAUAACGUCGCAAGACCAAAGAGGGGGACCUUCGGGCCUCUUGCCAUCGGAUGUGCCCAGAUGGGAUUAGCUAGUAGGUGGGGUAACGGCUCACCUAGGCGACGAUCCCUAGCUGGUCUGAGAGGAUGACCAGCCACACUGGAACUGAGACACGGUCCAGACUCCUACGGGAGGCAGCAGUGGGGAAUAUUGCACAAUGGGCGCAAGCCUGAUGCAGCCAUGCCGCGUGUAUGAAGAAGGCCUUCGGGUUGUAAAGUACUUUCAGCGGGGAGGAAAGGAGUAAAGUUAAUACCUUUGCCCAUUGACGUUACCCGCAGAAGAAGCACCGGCUAACUCCGUG
rnacentral:rRNA from 1 species